rnacentral:rRNA from 1 species
AGAGUUUGAUCCUGGCUCAGAUUGAACGCUGGCGGCAUGCCUUACACAUGCAAGUCGAACGGUAACAGGUCUUCGGAUGCUGACGAGUGGCGAACGGGUGAGUAAUACAUCGGAACGUGCCCGAUCGUGGGGGAUAACGAAGCGAAAGCUUUGCUAAUACCGCAUAAGAUCUACGGAUGAAAGCAGGGGACCGCAAGGCCUUGCGCGAACGGAGCGGCCGAUGGCAGAUUAGGUAGUUGGUGGGAUAAAAGCUUACCAAGCCGACGAUCCGUAGCUGGUCUGAGAGGACGACCAGCCACACUGGGACUGAGACACGGCCCAGACUCCUACGGGAGGCAGCAGUGGGGAAUUUUGGACAAUGGGCGAAAGCCUGAUCCAGCCAUGCCGCGUGCAGGAUGAAGGCCUU